rnacentral:rRNA from 1 species
UACGUAGGGUGCGAGCGUUGUCCGGAAUUAUUGGGCGUAAAGAGCUCGUAGGCGGUGUGUCACGUCGGCCGUGAAAACCUGCAGCUUAACUGUGGGCGUGCGGUCGAUACGGGCAUCACUGGAGUUCGGCAGGGGAGACUGGAAUUCCUGGUGUAGCGGUGAAAUGCGCAGAUAUCAGGAGGAACACCGGUGGCGAAGGCGGGUCGCUGGGCCGGACCUGACGCUGAGGCGCGAAGGCGUGGGGAGCGAACGGG